rnacentral:rRNA from 1 species
AGUGAACGCUGGCGGUAGGCCUAACACAUGCAAGUCGAACGGCAGCACAGUAAGAGCUUGCUCUUACGGGUGGCGAGUGGCGGACGGGUGAGGAAUACAUCGGAAUCUACUUUUUCGUGGGGGAUAACGUAGGGAAACUUACGCUAAUACCGCAUACGACCUACGGGUGAAAGCAGGGGAUCUUCGGACCUUGCGCGAUUGAAUGAGCCGAUGUCGGAUUAGCUAGUUGGCGGGGUAAAGGCCCACCAAGGCGACGAUCCGUAGCUGGUCUGAGAGGGUGAUCAGCCACACUGGAACUGAGACACGGUCCAGACUCCUACGGGAGGCAGCAGUGGGGAAUAUUGGACAAUGGGCACAAGCCUGAUCCAGCCAUACCGCGUGGGUGAAGAAGGCCUUCGGGUUGUAAAGCCCUUUUGUUGGGAAAGAAAAGCAGCAGGUUAAUACCCCGCUGUUCUGACGGUACCCAAAGAAUAAGCACCGGCUAACUUCGU